UAAUACCGCAUAAACAGGGGUCCCGCAUGGGGAAUAUUGUUAAAGAUUAUUGGUUGCGGAUGGGCAUGCGUUCCAUUAGCUGGUUGGUGAGGUAACGGCUCACCAAGGCAACGAUGGAUAGGGGAACUGAGAGGUUUAUCCCCCACACUGGUACUGAGACACGGACCAGACUCCUACGGGAGGCAGCAGUGAGGAAUAUUGGUCAAUGGGCGAGAGCCUGAACCAGCCAAGUCGCGUGAAGGAAGACGGUUCUAUGGAUUGUAAACUUCUUUUGCAGGGGAGUAAAAAGUGGGACGUGUCCCAUCUUGCAAGUACUCUGCGAAUAAGCAUCGGCUAACUCCGUGCCAGCAGCCGCGGUAAUACGGAGGAUGCGAGCGUUAUCCGGAUUUAUUGGGUUUAAAGGGUGCGUAGGCGGAAGCUUAAGUCAGUGGUGAAAGUUUGGGGCUCAACCUUAAAAUUGCCAUUGAAACUGGGUUUCUUGAGUGUAAAUGAAGUAGGCGGAAUUCGUGGUGUAGCGGUGAAAUGCAUAGAUAUCACGAAGAACUCCGAUUGCGCAGGCAGCUUACUAAGCUACAACUGACGCUGAAGCACGAAAGCGUGGGUAUCAAACAGGAUUAGAUACCCUGGUAGUCCACGCUGUAAACGAUGAUAACUAGCUGUUUGCGAUAUACAGUAAGUAGCUAAGCGAAAGCGAUAAGUUAUCCACCUGGGGA
rnacentral:rRNA from 1 species